CUUUGAGGUGGAGCUGAAGGAGGUGAAGCUAAGAGAUGGAUACAAUAAUGAUGGAGGCCCAGAUUGUUUCGCAUACUGUCAAGUCUCAUGGAGUUAGAGUUGCAAGGACACACAUGCAUGAUUGGCUGAUACUUUUGCUUCUUGUGGUGAUAAUUUCCAUCCUCUUGCUUAUGCAACCAUUUUACCGUUUUGUUGGGAAGGAUAUGAUGAUUGAUCUUAGAUACCCCUUGAAAAGUAACAGAGUACCCUUUUGGGCAGUUCUAGUUGGCAAUAAAGAAGACAUAUAUAAGCCAACAAAUCUUCAAUGAAUUGAUAUCUUCUCAUGGUCUUACUGAUGCUUCUGUGGAAGCUUUCCGAGAUUGUGCUCUACAGGUUGUUUUGUUGGGUGAAUAUCCUGGAGUGAAGGAUAGUUGGAUGGAUGUUAUUGCUUCACCAGGGUCGUCUUCUUUACUCUCUGUUGA